rnacentral:rRNA from 1 species
GAUGAACGCUAGCGGCAGGCCUAAUACAUGCAAGUCGAACGGGUGGUCGCAAGACCACUAGUGGCGCACGGGUGCGUAACGCGUAACCAACCUGCCCCGAUCUGGGGGAUAGCCCGCCGAAAGGCGGAUUAAUACCGCAUAUACCCGCAGCCUGGCAUCAGGCAACGGGGAAAGAUUUAUUGGAUCGGGAUGGGGUUGCGUGACAUUAGCUAGUUGGCGGGGUAAGGGCCCACCAAGGCGACGAUGUCUAGGGGACCUGAGAGGGUGAUCCCCCACACUGGCACUGAGAUACGGGCCAGACUCCUACGGGAGGCAGCAGUAGGGAAUAUUGGGCAAGGGGCGAGAGCCUGACCCAGCCAUGCCGCGUGCCGGAUGAAGGCCUUCUGGGUUGUAAACGGCUUUUCUCAGGGAAGAAAAAGACCUUGCGAGGUACACUGACGGUACCUGAGGAAUAAGCACCGGCUAACUCCGUG